GUGUCAGUGGUGAGAAAGAAAGGAGUUGAAGAUGUCCUGCCCUCUGGCUUAAGCCACUGGUGGACGGUGGCACUAUUGAAAGAGAUAGGAAAUACGUGAGAAGACUAGGGUUUAAGGCAAUCAUUCUCAGCCUUAGUGCACGUUAUAAUCACUGGUGGAGCUUUAAAAAUCCUGAUGCCCAGGCUGCACCCCAGACCAAUUGAAUAGAAUUUCAGGGGGUAGAACUGGGGCAACAAUAUUUUUAACUCUGUUUAGGUAAUUCCAAGCACAGGAAACAUUGAGGAGCACUAUUUUGCUUGAGAGAAUGGAAGGUGAUCCAGUUUUGGACUCGGGUUUCAGUGUUUCAGAAGAAGGGCAUUUUCAGUUGUUGGUACGGGCUGUGGUGUCACUGAGUUGAGAGUGGCAGAAGUGAAGUGAAAAGGAGAUCAUCAGAGUUGAGAAGCUCAAGAACCUGAGAUGUCCAAGUCCACUUAGACAUUGAUGUCACCACAAUGGUGCUGUGGUGGAAAGGAAGACUGAACUAGGUGCUGAUACCUUCACUGAACCAGAGGGCUUGUCCAGGAGGUUAAUAGGUGAUAACGAGUAAGAAUGUUACAGCAUUUGACAUCGGGAAGGUAAUUGACUAUCCCUGGCCUUCUCUGGACAGGUAUGUACUGCUGCCACUUCCAUUAUUUUAGCCCACUGUCACCGUGCUCUCCUGUCUCUGACAGGCUGCUGGAUGGUUGACACAAACCAGAGAAUCUGUAAAUAAAGGAAAAUGGAGUCUG